UGGUGCCACUUUAAAUAACUAUGCUGUGACCUCACCACUGUGCCCCUCCCUCUAUAAAAGCUGGGGGUAAGGCCCUGGCAGGGUGGAGAGUCGUCAUGCGGUCUGUGGAUCGUUUGCCUGCUGGAUUCUUCUUGUCAGAUGUGGCAUGUUAGGCCAUUGGUGAAAUGCAAGCUCCUGGGAAAUCAAGCUGAUGCUGGAGAGACAGAGCAUGAACAGGGGAGGGUCAGAGAAAGAGGGA